rnacentral:rRNA from 1 species
UACGUAGGGGGCAAGCGUUGUCCGGAUUUAUUGGGCGUAAAGAGCGUGUAGGCGGCCAUACAGGUCCGUUGUGAAAACUCGAGGCUUAACCUCGAGACGUCGAUGGAAACCGUAUGGCUAGAGUCCGGAAGAGGAGAGUGGAAUUCCUGGUGUAGCGGUGAAAUGCGCAGAUAUCAGGAGGAACACCGGUGGCGAAGGCGGGUCUCUGGGCCGAUACUGACGCUGAGGAGCGAAAGCCAGGGGAGCAAACGGG